rnacentral:rRNA from 1 species
GCGGCAUGCCUUACACAUGCAAGUCGAACGGCAGCACGGGAGCAAUCCUGGUGGCGAGUGGCGAACGGGUGAGUAAUAUAUCGGAACGUGCCCAGUCGUGGGGGAUAACGUAGAGAAAUUUACGCUAAUACCGCAUACGAUCUAAGGAUGAAAGCGGGGGACCGUAAGGCCUCGCGCGAUUGGAGCGGCUGAUAUCAGAUUAGGUUGUUGGUGAGGUAAAAGCUCACCAAGCCGACGAUUUGUAGCUGGUUUGAGAGAACGACCAGCCACACUGAGACUGAGACACGGCCCAGACUCCUACGGGAGGCAGCAGUAGGGAACUUUGGACAAUGGGCGAAAGCCUGAUCCAGCAAUGCCGCGUGCAGGAAGAAGGCCUUCG